rnacentral:lncRNA from 1 species
CCACAACCACCUUCCUGCCCUGGGAAUUUGGAGCAGAAUUGCUGGAGUGGAGGUGCUUUGCUGCCCUUCUGUGCCUGAUGCCAGCAUGGAAAAUGGAGCUGACAUAAACUGGGGGUAUCCAAAUGAUUUAUUGUAUUUUAAAGGUGGUAGGAGCUGCAGCAGCCUUGAAACUUAAUUCGUUUGGAAUUCAUUUGGAAGUUCCUGAGCAACUUCAGGUAAAAUUAACAAACAUUGCAAUUAAUUUAUCCCAGUUACUCUGGCUAAAGAUCCAUUUCAGUGUUGGUUUAUGAUCGUGCAGAGCUAAGGAGGACACGAAUAUACAAGAAUGUGAAUUUUUGGCACAUUUUGGGGGUUUCUGUGUAGCUCGUGAUGCUGAAAUUGCUCUGUUUGAGACUCCUUGAGCUGUGGGGGUCUGAGGAUUUGAGCUGAGCCGGGGGAAGGAGUGACGUGAGCAUGACGGAGGUGCCCAGUGGGAGCCUCUCUCUUAAGGCUGGGCAGGCAGGGAGGGGCAGGAGAUGGGAAAAGGGAGAGCAGGAACAUGUCCUGGAGCUGUCCAAUGCAUUGCAGAUAUUCCCUGCUCCUCUCACUGAC